UAAUUUUGGACUUGCAAAAUGUUGCCAAAAUAGUACGAAGAGUUCCCCAGUACCCUCGAAGUUUCCUCGACUGUUUCAAAGCUGGCUGCAGGCCCAGGCUCAUGAGACUGGGAAGAGGACAGGCUGUGGUCAUGUGGACCCACAGGGGCCUGGGGCUGCAGAAGUCAGUGUGGCUUCCACCAUUUCAGUUCACAAUAGGGUUCACGCUCCUAAGAGAACCUGAUGCUGCAGCUGAUCUAACAGGAGAUGGAGCUCAGGUGGUCAUGCUCAGUCGCUCGCCACUCACCUCCUGCCAUGCAGUACAGUUCCUAACAGGCCUCAGACCAGUACCGGUCUGUGGCCUGGGGGUUGAGGACCCCUGCUCUAGGCUGGUACUGCUGAUGCUUAAAAAGAGAGGGUUUGCCAGAAAUCAGAUGGGACAAAAGGGCAAAGGCCGUGCCACAGAGUGCCCAUAUAGGGGAGAGCACGCCUGGAGCCUUCGAGAAUAUGCAGAGAAGCCUGGAGACUGCGUUUACCGGAGCUGCUGCCUGAGGCCACCCUCCGAGUGUCCCCACAGCGCACCACAAGACCACAGGAGUGACCUCCUCACUGGCAGGAUGUUCCGCUGAAUGGGAACCCUGCCUCGCCUCUGGCUUCUAUCCCAAAGGUCUAAGAAGACAGCGAACACUCCCUGCCACCCCAGCCAUGGAGGAGGCCUGCCUUGGCAGGAUGCUACAAAGGGUGGAGGUCGGCUCUGUGCCAGGGCUGCUAACGGUGCCCAUCCCGGGUGCCCCAGAGCUGUUCUGCCUGCUGGGAGAGCUGGGUGUGGCCUCUCGCAGAUUCUAAGGGCCCCAGGAACCCUGCUGCGCUGCACAGUUUGUGCCACUUUUUACCGAACGACAGUGUGGUUUCCCGGGCUGCCGCCCGCACGGCCUCCAGGUCAGACUGGCACAGGCUGGCAAUCUGGUCGAUGCUUUCAAUGCCCUGUUCGAGAUUAGGAGAAAAAGAACCCUUUAGGGGGCCUUCUCAACAGCAGGUAGAGUCCACUUAGUGGCCCUGCAGGGCCAGUCCUAGCAUGGUCUCUGGGGCCUCAGCCCCUUCCUUUUCUCCAGGCUUCCAGGUUUUUUAGGUGGCCUCAGGUUCAUGAGAGGCACCUCUGGACUCUGGAAGCGUCUCGCCUCUUCAGCCCUUACACCCGCUAGGGAGCCAGGCUGUUAGCAGAACUCGUCAUCCUGGAUGCCUGCUGAAAGGCUAGAAUUGAAAAGGAGACCUGCUGCUUUCUGGACCUUCCUGCCUCCCUCACGCUCUCCUUGCCCUACUCUCCAGGACAGCCUGUGCCAGUACUUCGCCCAACUCAGGCACAUGCCCCCGGGCUGCUCCUGCAGGCCAAGGACCGGCAUGCGCUGCAGCGCCCUCUACUGGGCACCUGGCCCUCGCUGGUUUUCUGAUCCUAACCAGCUUCUCCUCUUAGAAUUUCCUGCUGAUCCAUCCCAGAAUGAAUGGGAGUUCAAUCUGUAUUGAAUUAUCUUUCAUCUAGCAACUGUGCAAUUCCAAAUGCAGGUGAGGUUGAGGGAAAGCGGGCAUCCCCUCACAUCCAUGGGAUCUAUGUGUGGGUUGUAUCAGGAGUCUCAAAAAUGCUCAUAUUCUCCGGUCCUAGAAUUGGGUCUAGCCUAAGGAAAUAAUUCAGAACUCCAUGUUUUUUUAAAGCUUUAUGCACAAACAUGAUCAUAAUGACAUGAUUUAUGAUAAAAAUUGGAUGAAGUAAACUUUCCUAUGAAAGCA